GCUAGAUCAUAGGGGAUGAGAGAAUAUGGAGCAGACUUGGACCCAAGCCAUAGACUAAAACCAAGCCCAGCCAAUCCCAGCCUCUAUCAGCUGAACCCCAGGAGGAAGACUCCAUCUAAACCUGGAGCAGACACGUGAUGACUUGAGAAUUUCUGAAACACCUGUCUACCUUUGAAAGAAGCACAAAAUUUUAAAGUCUCAAGAUUGGAAAGAAGAUGAAAACUGAAGGAAGGUUCAAUCACAAAUAGUUAUAAAAGGCAAAUCCAAGUAACCUGCACUUCUUGGCCCUGAAGAUGAUGGCCCAGCAUCAAAGCAACAGGAAGGGCACUGAGGUGAUAAUGAUGAUGAGAUGAGCAAUGGCAUGUGCACAUGGGAAGGUGUUCAUAGGAGGCUUCU